AUGGCAGUGAUGAUUGGCGCAGGGGUACGGACCUCAGCUGGAUCAUGGGAGCUGAAUGCAAACCGGCAAUUCCAGGGCAGCUGGCGUGUGGCUGGCUCCCUGGAAACAGGCUUGCAUGAGACUUUGCCACCAACUGAGCCAU